rnacentral:rRNA from 1 species
GAUGAACGCUGGCGGUAUGCCUAACACAUGCAAGUCGUACGAGAGUUUUUAACUCUAGUGGCGGACGGGUGAGUAACACGUGAGAAUUUGCCUUUAGGAGGGGGAUAACAAUUGGAAACGAGUGCUAAUACCCCAUAUGCUUUUGAGUGAAACGGAUUUAUCCGCCUAGAGAGAAGCUCGCGGCUGAUUAGCUUGUUGGUAAGGUAAGAGCUUACCAAGGCGACGAUCAGUAUCUGGUUUGAGAGGACGAUCAGACACACUGGAACUGAGACACGGUCCAGACUCCUACGGGAGGCAGCAGUGGGGAAUUUUCCGCAAUGGGCGAAAGCCUGACGGAGCAAUACCGCGUGAGGGAAGAAUGCCUAUGGGUUGUAAACCUCUUUUUUCAGGGAGGAAUCAAAUGACGUGUACCUGAAGAAUAAGCAUCGGCUAACUCCGUG